ACUUAGCAUUUUUCUUCUGUACUAACCUGCAGGAGGGGACCUCUCACCACUACAACAGAAUUAGGUUAUAGGGACACAUGUUUGGAACACUUUUGAGUAAGUGUCUCAUUUAUCCUAAAACUUAAAAAAACAUCUACUAAUAUCUAAAUAUAAAGCCCAAUCCAACCAAAAAUAAAAGAUUACUCUACUCAACCCAGCACACCCAGUCCAUUUGGCCCGACUACAAACAGAAAAGAAAAAAAAAAAGUAAAAUCAAUUACCAUCUUUUCUUUUCUCUUCACUCAAUCCACCGAAAUUCUAGACGAAAAGCCUUUCCUGUCGUCCUCUUCGGCCACCGCAGCCAACGAGAUAGAGUUUCAACGGUUGCUAAAUGCUUAAAUAAGUAUUGGUAAAUUAGCAGCACUCUUUUAGAUUAUAGCGACACUCUUUAACUGUCACUAUAUACCUAGCGACCCCACAUAUAGCAACACUUUUUAAAAGUGUCGGUAAUUUUAGCUAGCAGUAAUUUUUUGACAUGUACCUACAUUUAAAAGUGUCGCUAUAGACCGUUUUUGUUGUAGUGAUGCACUGGCUGACGUAGGUGUUCCCUAUAUACUUUAUGCGC
rnacentral:lncRNA from 1 species